UACAGAGGGUGCGAGCGUUGUCCGGAAUCACUGGGCGUAAAGGGCGCGUAGGCGGUCUCUUAAGCGUGUGGUGAAAGCCCGGGGCUCAACUCCGGGUCGGCCGUGCGAACUGGGGGACUGGAGCUUGUCAGAGGCAGGCGGAAUUCCGGGUGUAGCGGUGGAAUGCGUAGAGAUCCGGAAGAACACCGGUGGCGAAGGCGGCCUGCUGGGACAGUGCUGACGCUGAGGCGCGACAGCGUGGGGGAGCAAACAGGAUU
rnacentral:rRNA from 1 species